rnacentral:rRNA from 1 species
UACGUAGGGGGGCAAGCGUUGUCCGGAUUUAUUGGGCGUAAAGAGCGUGUAGGCGGCCAGGGAGGUCCGUUGUGAAAACUCGAGGCUCAACCUCGAGACGCCGAUGGAAACCCCCUGGCUAGAGUCCGGAAGAGGAGAAUGGAAUUCCUGGUGUAGCGGUGAAAUGCGCAGAUAUCAGGAAGAACACCCGUGGCUAAGGCGGUUCUCUAGUACGGUACUGACGCUGAGACGCGAAAGCGUGGGGAGCGAACAAG